AGAAAGAUAAGCUAAUACAAGCUAAUGGGUUCAUACCCCAUUUAUAGAGGUUGUAAUCCUCUUUUUUCUA
rnacentral:tRNA from 1 species